UCCGAGUUGUCCCCGGCAGUCUCCUUAGAGUCCCCGCCAUAACGCGCUGGCAACAUAGAACGAGGGUUGCGCUCGUUGCGGGACUUAACCCAACAUCUCACGACACGAGCUGACGACAACCAUGCACCACCUGUGAACCCGUUCCCUUUCGGGCACAGCCCCGUUUCCGGGGCCUCCAGGACAUGUCAAGGGUAGGUAAGGUUUUUCGCGUUGCAUCGAAUUAAUCCACAUAAUCCACCGCUUGUGCGGGUCCCCGUCAAUUCCUUUGAGUUUUAGCCUUGCGGCCGUACUCCCCAGGCGGGGCACUUAAUGCGUUAGCUUCGGCACGGAGGGAGUCGACACCCCCCACACCUAGUGCCCAUCGUUUACAGCGUGGACUAC
rnacentral:misc_RNA from 1 species